ACUCCUGCCGAUGGAUAUCUUGGCUCUCGCAACGAUGAAGAACGCAGCGAAAUGCGAUACGUAGUGCGAAUUGCAGAAUUCAGUGAAUCAUCGAACCUUUGAACGCAAAUGGCGCAUCCGGGCUCCGCUCGGACGCAUGUCUCUUCGAGGGGCGCCUCCAUCCUCCUCGGAGCGAGAGAGCUCUCUCUCUCGUCUCCGGAGCCGGCGGCCGCGCGGGGGAGCCUCGGCCCCCUCGCGCGCCCGCCCAAGGCUGCCUUGCGAGCGCGGCGGCGGCGUCUAACCCGCGUCCCCGCCGGAGUGCUAAGUCCACGACUAGACCUCUGGUGGACGCGUGCCCCGUUCUGCCUCGCGACCCCCGGCGUGCGCGGUGCCUCUCCUCUCCUCCGGGAGAGCGAGGCCCGCCCGCCCCGGCGCGCGGCCGCUCUCUGUGCGGCCGCGCGCCUCGAAACCCGCCAUCGAAUGAGGCAAGACUACCCGCUGAACUUAAGCAUAUCACUAAGCGGAGGAGAAGAAACUAACCAGGAUGCCCCUAGUAAUGGCGAAUGAAGCGGGCUGAGCUCACGCUGCCAAUCUGGAGGCCUCGCGUAUGCAGCGCCCCCCGAAUUGUGGUCUAGAGAGGCGUUAUCGGCCGUGCCCGCCGCUCAAGUCCCUUGGAACAGGGUGUCGGAGAGGGUGAGAAUCCCGUACCGUGGCGGGUUGCGGCCUUACGAUGCGUUCUCGUCGAGUCGGGUUGCUUGGGAUUGCAGCUUGAAUUGGGUGGUAAAUUCCAUCUAAAGCUAAAUACUGGCGAGAGACCGAUAGCGAACAAGUACCGUGAGGGAAAGAUGCAAAGAACUUUGAAAAGAGAGUCAAAGAGUGCUUGAAAUCGGUAGGAGGAAACCCGGAUGGGCCCGGCUUCGGCGCGCCGACUCAGCCUGGGGUUCUCCCCAGGUGCACUUCUGCGCGCCGGGUCAGCCGCGCCUCGGCGCCGCGCCUCAACCCGGGAGCGGGGCUUUACGGCCAGCUCCCGUCCUGGCGCGGCCCGGGGCCCGGCUGACGGAACGGGCCCCUCCGACCCGUCUAGAAACACGGACCAAGGAGUCUGACACGUGUGCGAGUACCCGGGUGGCAAGCCCGCGUGCGGAAUGAAAGUGAAGGGCAUGCCCUGCCAACCGACCUUGACCUGCUGUGAGGGGUUUGAGUGGAGCACACCUGUCGGGACCCGAAAGAUGGUGAACUAUGCCUGGGUAGGGUGAAGCCAGAGGAAACUCUGGUGGAGGCUCGUAGCGAUACUGACGUGCAAAUCGUUCGUCGAAUCUGGGUAUAGGGGCGAAAGACUAAUCGAACCAUCUAGUAGCUGGUUCCCUCCGAAGUUUCCCUCAGGAUAGCUUGAACGCAACGGUUUUGUCAGGUAAAGCGAAUGAUUAGAGGCCUGUGGGCUGAAACAGCUUGCACCUAUUCUCAAACUUUAAAUGGGCAAGAGGCCCGGGAUGCUUGAGUGAUCCCGGGCGGCGAACGGCGCGUUCAAAGUGGGCCAUUUUUGGUAAGCAGAACUGGCGAUGCGGGAUGAACCGAACGCCGCGCUAAGGUACCCAAGUGUCCGCUCAUCAGAUACCACAAAAGGCGUUGGUACCUCCAGACAGCAGGACGGUGGCCAUGGAAGUCGGAACCCGCUAAGGAGUGUGUAACAACUCACCUGCCGAAGGUACUAGCCCUGAAAAUGGAUGGCGCUCAAGCGGACCACCGAUGCGCGGCCGCCGGCGCGAGCGCGAGGCGCCGGCGAGUAGGAGGGCGCGGGGCUCGCGGCGCAGCCUUGGGCGCGAGCCUGGGUGAAGCGGGCCCCGGUGCAGAUCUUGGUGGUAGUAGCAAAUAUUCAAAUGAGAACUUUGAAGACUGAAGUGGAGAAAGGUUCCGUGUGAACAGCAGUUGGACACGGGUGAGCCGACCCUAAGAGACAGGAAAACUCCGCCGAACGCGGCUGGUUCUGUCAGCCCGUCCGUCGAAAGGGAAUCGGGUUAAUAUUCCCGAGCCAGCGCGUGGAUGGUGGGCGGCGACGCGAACGAACCCGGAGACGCCGGCGGGAGCCCUGGGAAGAGUUCUCUUUUCUUCUUAACUGCCUCCUGCCCUGGAAUCGGUUUAGCCGGAGCGAGGGCUACACGGCAGGCAAAGCACCCUAAGUCUUGGGGUGUCCGGCGCGCUCCCGACGGCCCGUGAAAAUCCGGGGGAGCGGUUCGUUCUCACGCCUGGUCGUACUCAUAACCGCAUCAGGUCUCCAAGGUGAACAGCCUCUAGUCGAUAGAGCAAUGUAGGUAAGGGAAGUCGGCAAAAUGGUUCCGCAACCUCGGGAGAAGGAAUGGCUCUGAAGGCUGGGCGCAGGGGUCCUAGGCUCGAGGCCGGCUGGCUGCGCGGGGACUACGGCCUCACGGCUGCGGAUCCCGCGCGGCCGUCCGGCGGACGGCCUAGGAGCGCUCCGGCUCUCCCUGCGCGACGAACAGCCGCUUCAGAACUGGCGCGGACAAGGGGAAUCCGACUGUUUAAUUAAAACAAAGCAUUGCGAUGGCCCGCGAGGGUGCUGACGCAAUGUGAUUUCUGCCCAGUGCUCUGAAUGUCAAAGUGAAGAAAUUCAACCAAGCGCGGGUAAACGGCGGGAGUAACUAUGACUCUCUUAAGGUAGCCAAAUGCCUCGUCAUCCAAUUAGUGACGCGCAUGAAUGGAUUCGUGAGAUUCCCACUGUCCCUAUCUACUGUCUAGCGAAACCACAGCCAAGGGAACGGGCUUGGAAGAAUCAGCGGGGAAAGAAGACCCUGUUGAGCUUGACUCUAGUCUGUUACUGUGGAACGACUUGAUGGGUGUAGAAUAUGCGGGAGGGGCAACCCGACAGUGAAAUACCGCAACCGUCAACGUUGUUUUACUUACUCGGUGGCGCGGAGGGAGGCUCGCCUCACUUCUGGAUCCAAGCCGCUUCGUGCGCGCGAUCCGCGUCGGGGACACUAACAGGUGGGGAGUUUGGCUGGGGCGGCACGUCUGUUAAAAAAUAACGCAGGCGCCCGAUUUUGAGCUCAAUGAGAACAGAAAUCUCAUGUGGACCGAAAGGGGAAAAGCUCGGUUGAUUUUGAUUUUCAGUACGAAUACAAACCGCGAAAGCGUGGCCUAUCGAUCCUCUCGUCUUUGGGAAUUUCAAGCUAGAGGUGUCAGAAAAGUUACCACAGGGAUAACUGGCUUGUGGCUGCCAAGCGUUCAUAGCGACGUAGCUUUUUGAUCCUUCGAUGUCGGCUCUUCCUAUCACUGCCUCGCAGCGGGGGCCAAAUGCAGGAUUGUUCACCCACCAACAGGGAACGUGAGCUGGGUUUAGACCGUCGUGAGACAGGUUAGUUUUACCCUACUGCUGUCUGUUUUUCUACGGUAAUUUGGUUCAGUACGAGAGGAACCACCAAUUCGCAUCAUCGGUAUAGCCGCCGCCGGAAACGGCGAUGCGGCGAAGCUGCCAUGCGCCGGAUUAUAACUGAACGCCUCUAAGUUAGAAUCCAUGCCGGAAGGAAAGCCACCUACCGGCCCGGGGACGCCACGAGCAACGGUAGCACUGCCUGAGCCGCGAGCGACCACAAUUCACGGACCCGGGCCGACGAAUCCCUUGCAGACGACUUGAAUAAGGAACGGGGUAUUGUACGCGGCAGAGUGGCCUUGUUGCCACGAUCCGCUGAGAUUCAGCCUUGGUUCUGACGAUUUGUUGCGCGCGCGCAACAACCCUCAGGGCCUCUCCCGUUCCCCAGUCGCUCUCUCGGCGCUCUCCCCCUCUCUCGCCUCUCCUCCGAGCCUCACUCGCUCGGGGGCGGAGCCGAGGGGGCGAGAGCGCGAUUUCUGCCCAAGGCAGCGCGCAGGCCACUGCGCAGACACACCCGGCUCUCCCCGAGCCGCCACUGGGCGCUCCCGCGGUCCCCUCCGGGCUAAAUGCGGCCUCCGGAGCGGGUGGCGCGAGCGUCUAAGUCUACUCAGAGCCUUCCACGCUCUUCUUUGCGUUCCGAAGCACCCACUGCGCUCCUCUGUGUAGCAUCGCCCGGCCAACUCGCUUGCCCACUGUCAUUGUCCCCGCCGCCCUCUCACUGUGGCCGCCCUGUACCGUUUCCUCCACCGCCCUCGCCACCGCCCUCGCCACUGCCCUCGCCACCGCCCCCACGCCGCCGCUACCAUUCCGGCCACCCUCGCCGCCCCCACCCUCAUCCCCACCUUGCCCCCGCCGCCCGUUGCAGCUGCAAUCCCCACCCGCCCUCCGACGCUAGCCCCCGCCCUCACCGCCGCCCUCACCGCCGCCCUCGCCGCCACCCUCGCCGCCAUCCUCGCCUCCGCCGCUGCUCUCACCACCCUCGCCGCCACCCUCGCCGCCAUCCUCGCCUGGAUACCGCGCCGCAGAGCAGCCCGAGAGCACCUCAACUUUCCGACCCGCGAUGUGGCCGGCUCGGCCGACCCGAGCGUGGUCCAUAGCGGUGGCAGUCCUACUGAUGAUUAGGUUGAAGAGGAGUAAGCUCCAGUGGGCAAGGGGGCAGUUAGGGGGGCGGUGGCGGCGGUGCAGCUGGUGCUACGGCGGCAGCGUCGAGAGUGCAAGUGUAAGGAAGCGACUACAACGGAGUCUCUACCGGCGAUAUGGGGGGCUACGACGGCGGGAGAGCUCUCUCUCGCCGCCCCCCGGGCCGUCUCGAAGGACCGCGCAGCCCAAGCCCUGAGGCCUUGCUGUCGAGGGCAGAUAUUCUCCUCGGAAGGCCUCCAGCCGCCACCUCGGGUGGCAGUGACGGUGCCGCGUAGGGGAGGCAGCACGAGUCCCCCCCUCUGACGAGUAGCGCACAGCUGGACUCGGCUAGGGCCUACGGGCGUCGACCACAAUGAAGCCGUCAUUCCGCAGCCGCAGCAGCUGCUUUGCCCGCCGUCCGCCUCCGCCAGGCCACCCCUGCACGUGUGGGCAGGCGGCGGCAACGCCUAUCGCCCGACGGGGAGGGGCUGAGAAACGAACGACGCAUCGACCGAGAAGUCGCGCCGAGUGGCGUGAUUGCGGCCGAUAGCACCUACUCGGGCCUAGACCGGUCCCCUUCCGAGCGAUGAGUCGCAGUAUCGGCUCUGAGACGAGGGUUUGGGCUCCGCGAUGGGCAGCGGCGACGUGUGCUGCAGGCCGAGAAUGCACACCAUGGCCGCAAAAUGCACAUUUAUGGGUGGAGAUGGCCACUCCUACGCCUUCGGCAACACCGAAGAGAAGGCCCGCCGCCAAACAUGGGCUGCAAGGCGCGCGGGCAGCCCGGCCAACCCUUCUCCCACAAGACCGGCCACGGCUACGUCAAGGCGCGCAUCGCGGUUUCUACCACGACGCGAUCUUUGUCAAGCGCAACAACUUCAACCUGCUGCUCCACGAGACGUUCGGCGGCGGCUUCUCGCCCAUCGCCGUUCUCAACCUACGCCGCCUCGCGCGCAAAGUCGCGCGCGGCAGCGUUGACCGCACGGCCUACUCGCCCAAGUACUCACUCUCUUUUAUGUCCCACCAUGCAGAGCGCAUCUCUCUCUGUUGUGCGAGGCGUGAACCGCGCCAUUCGCUCUCACCUGGCAACCCUGUCUGCACGUCUCGCGCGCGCGUGAACAGGGCUCCAGGCCCCAAAUGACGUGUGAGUGUUAGAGUUGUUUGGUAUCGCUAAAAAUCUCUCGGAACAAGCAAGGGUCUUGGGAGGAUGCCAUUUUGGGGGGUGCGGGGGCACACACAACGCGACACGGAGAGGGGGUGGGCAGGAUCACCCACACAGGAUCACCCACACAGGACAGUGGGAGAACAAAAUGCCUUGGAAGGACGACGACGGGCAGCCGAAGACGAUGCAAAUUCUUGCACGCGAAAAUUCUUUUCGCGGCCUUGAAACGAACGACCUGGCUUGCUCCACGCGCUGCUGGUGCGCAGCGUGCGCCGUUCUGCACUCGGGAACACCACCGAUCCACUCUCCGCUCUCCUCCAGCCGCACAGAGCCCAACAAGACCCCCCGACGGUCGGCGUUGAGCGUCGUUGAGCAGUGCCACGAGAGGCAGCAGCGUCUCGUCCGUGUGCCACAGCCGCGUGUGAGUUGCGAUGGGAGCCAGCUAGCCUCCCGACCGGCCUCCCGCGCACACUCGCACUCCGCAGCCUCGAGCCUCACCACGCCCGCUGCACACUGCCUCAGGCACCUUCGCUCCCGCCACCACGCCGCCGCUCCAGUGCUCCUGCCACCGCCGCAGCCCUCCGCGUCGCGUUUCCGCCACCCUUUGACCGAGACCGUGCGCUAGGCCGGCGUGCAGCUACAGGUGCGCGGCGGUGCGCCGCGCACCACCGCCGCGCUCUCACUCCUCAUCCCGGCCAGCUCUCCCCUCUUUCCGCCCCGCAGCUCCCCCGUCACCUCGCGAUAUCUCCCUCCCUCCCUCCCUCCCUCUCUCGGAGCCUCUCGGCAGGCCUCCGUCCCUCCCCCCCCCCCCCUUCCUCCGCCGACCGCGCACCGCGCCAUCCCCGCCGCCGUCGGCCUCACACCAGGUCUCAUCGGCGCUCUCUGCCGUAGGUUGCGCGCCGCUGCAGGGCGGGCUGCGCGGCUCGUCGUUCGUGCGUCAGGCGCGGCCGCGGCGCUCUCGCCUCUGCCGAGGCGCGCUAGCUGCUCGCAUCGCCGCUCUCCCCCCUCUCUCGCACCUCUCUCUGCACUCUUCGGCGGCAGCCCCGCAGGCUCGGGUCGCUGCAACCUCGAGUCGGGUUGGAGCGGAUGGGCGGCGCGGGGGCCAGCGUCGGCGGCGCCGCCCCGCCGCCGCCUCAAUUCCUCCUCCUCCUCCGUCGCUGUCUACAUCUUUCGACGGCAUGCGCCGCCUCGCAGGGCGCGUCCAGAGCAGCUCGGGCGGCGCUGCUGCGGCGGGGGCGGAUGGCGCGGUCGCCGCGCCGCUCAUCGGUGAGCCGGCGCUCCCGCGCGGCGCUCCGGCGGCCGGCGGCGUGUUUCGCCGCUGCGGAGGGCGUUGU
rnacentral:rRNA from 1 species